rnacentral:rRNA from 1 species
GGGGGGGGCGGGGGGCGGGCUUGGCGCGGGCGGGGCGGACGGGGGGGCCGUGCUUGUGUGGGGUGCUCGAGUGGCGAACGGGUGGGUAACACGUGAGUAACCUGCCCUUGACUUUGGGAUAACUUCAGGAAACUGGGGCUAAUACCGGAUCGGCGCUCCUGCUGCAUGGUGGGGGUUGGAACGUUUCGGCGGUUGGGGAUGGACUCGCGGCUUAUCAGCUUGUUGGUGGGGUAGUGGCUUACCAAGGCUUUGCCGGGUAGCCGGCCUGAGAGGGUGACCGGCCACAUUGGGACUGAGAUACGGCCCAGACUCCUACGGGAGGCAGCAGUGGGGAAUAUUGCACAAUGGGCGGAAGCCUGAUGCAGCAACGCCGCGUGCGGGAUGACGGCCUUCGGGUUGUAAACCGCUUUCGCCUGUGACGAAGCGUGAGUGACGGUAAUGGGUAAAGAAGCACCGGCUAACUACGUG